AAGUACCCUAUAGAGACCCCAUUGAGACCCCAUAGUGUAUCCAUAGAGCCCCCAUGGAUACCCCAUGGAUACCCCAUGGGUACCCCAUGGAUACCCCAUGGCUGCCCCAUGGAUGCCCCAUAGAGACCCCAUAGCUGCCCCAUGGAUACCCCAUAGAGACCCCAUAGAGACCCCAUUAAAACCCCAUAGUGUGCAAUAGAGCCCAUAUGGAUACCCCAUGGAUGCCACAUGCAGCCCCCAUAGAGAGGCAAUGGAGACCCCAUAGUUAUCCUAUAGGGACCCCAUAGUAAGUUCAUAGAGACCCCAUGGAUACCCCAUAGAGACCCCAUAGAUAACCCACAGAUAACCCAUAGAUAACCCAUAAGUACCCUAUAGAGAUCCCACGGAUACCCCAUAGAGACCCCAUACAGACCCCAUGGUGAGCCCAUGGAUAACCCAUAGGUACCCCAUAGCUGCCCCAUAUAUACCCCAUAGAGAUCCCUUGGAUACCCCAUAGGUACCCCAUCGAUACCCCCGUAGCUGCCCCAUGGAUACCCCAUAGAUACCCCAUAGAGACCCAUUGAGACCCUGAGGUCCCCCAUAGGGAUACACAGUGCCCCAUAGAGGCCCAUAGAGACCCAUAGAGACCCAUAGAGACCCAUAGGGACCCAUAGGGACCCAUAGGGAACCAUAGAGACCCAUAGGGACCCAUAGGGACCCAUAGAGACACAUAGGGACCCAUAGAGACGGGGGGUCCCACAUAGGGACCCAUAGAGCCCCAUAGAUCUGCAUAGAGACCCAUAGGGACACAUGGAGCCCCAUAGAGCCCCAUAGGGAUCCAUAGAAACCCAUAGAGACCUAUAGGUCCCCCAUAGGGACACACAGAGCCCCAUAGGUCCCCAUAGGAACCCAAAGAACACCAUAGAGCCCCAUGGGGACCCUUAGAGACCCAUAGAGACCUAUAGAGCCCCUUAGGUCCCACAUAUGGACACAGAGCCCCAUAGGGACCCAUAGAGCCCCAUAGGGACCCAUAGAAACCCAUAGAGACACAUAGGUCCCACAUAGGGACCCAUAGAGCCCCAUAGGGACCCAUAGGGACCCAUACAGACCCAUAGGUCCUCCAUAGGGACACAUAGAGCCCCAUAGAGACCCAUAGGGACCGAUAGAAACCCGUAGAGACCCAUAGGUCCCCCAUAGAGCCCCACAGAGCCCCAUAGACACGCAUGCGGUCCCAUAGAGACCCAUAGAUCCCACAUAGGGACCCACACAGACAGGGAAGUCCCACACAGGGACACAUAGAUCCCCAUCGAGACCCAUAGAGACCCAUAGACCCCACAUAGGGACCCAAAGAGACCCAUAGGUCCCCAAUAGGGACGCAUAGAGCCCCAUAGAGACGCAUAGGGUCCCAUAGGGACCCAUAAAUCCCACAUAGGGACCCAUAGAUCCCCAUAGAGACCCAUAGGGACCAAAGGGACCCAUAGGGACGCAUAGAGCCCCAUAGAGCCCCAUACGGACCCAUAGGGACUGAUAGAAACCCAUAGAGACCCAUAGGUCCUCCAUAGGGACCCAUAGAACCCCAUAGAGACCCAUAGGGACCCAUAGAGACCCAUAGGUCCCCAAUAGGGACACAAAGAGCCCCAUAGAGAUGCAUAGGGUCCCAUAGAGCCCCAUGGGGAACCUUAGAGACCCAUACAGCCCCAUAGGUCCCACAUAUGGACACAGAGCCCCAGAGAGCCCCAUACGGACUCAUAGAGACCCAUAGGGACCCAUAGAAACCCAUAGAGCCCCAUAGAUCCCCAUAGAGAUGCAUACGGUCCCAUAGGGACCCAUAGAUCCCACAAAGGGACUCAUAGGGUCCCAUCGGGACCCACAGAGACAGGGGGUCCCACAUAGGGACACAUAGAGCCCCAUAGAUCCCCAUAGAGACCCUUAGAGACCCAUAGAUCCCACAUAGGGACCCAUAGAGACCCAUAGAGAUGCAUAGGGUCCAUAGGGACCCACAGAUCCCACAUAGGGACCCAUAGUGACCCAUAGGGACCCAUAGAGCCCCAUAGAGCCCCAUAGGGACCCAUAGAGACCCAUAGAGACCCAUAGAGACACAUAGAGACCCAUAGGGACCCAUAGAGACCCAUAG
ensembl:lncRNA